rnacentral:lncRNA from 1 species
AAUGGCCUCCGCAACAGUCACUCUUGUGUUAGCAAUACUGUCUCUAAGCUUGCCAUCUCAAAUCUCAGCUGAUACCUACUUGUACUCAUCACCUCCUCCUCCCAAGAAGCCCUAUUAUUAUCACUCUCCUCCACCACCUUCACCUCCUCCACCUAAGCCAUACUACUAUCAUUCACCACCACCACCUUCACCUCCUCCACCCAAGCCAUACUACUAUCACUCACCACCACCACCUUCACCUCCUCCACCUAAACCAUACUACUAUCACUCACCACCACCACCUUCACCUCCUCCACCUAAACCAUACUACUAUCACUCACCACCACCACCUUCACCUCCUCCACCUAAACCAUACUACUAUCACUCACCACCACCACCUUCACCUCCUCCACCUAAGUCAUAUUACUAUCACUCACCACCACCACCACCCAAAAAGAAGCCAUACUACUACCAUUCUCCCCCACCACCUUCACCACCUCCUCCUAAGCCAUACUACUAUCACUCUCCCCCACCGCCUUCACCUCCUCCACCUACGCCAUACUACUAUCAUUCUCCCCCACCACCCUCACCACCUCCACCUAAGCCAUACUACUACCAUUCACCACCACCCCCACCGAAGAAGAAGCCUUACUACUACCACUCUCCACCACCACCUUCACCUCCUCCUCCAAAGAAGCCAUACUACUACCACUCCCCACCUCCUCCCAAGAAGCCCUACAAAUAUUCAUCUCCCCCACCUCCAGUGCACCCUUACCCUCAUCCUCACCCCCAUCCC